rnacentral:rRNA from 1 species
UACAGAGGUCUCAAGCGUUGUUCGGAUUCAUUGGGCGUAAAGGGUGUGUAGGUGGCGCCGUAAGUCGGGUGUGAAAUUUCGGAGCUUAACUCCGAAACUGCAUUCGAUACUGCGGUGCUUGAGGACUGGAGAGGAGACUGGAAUUCCUGGUGUAGCGGUGAAAUGCGUAGAGAUUGGGAAGAACACCAGUGGCGAAGGCGGCUUUCUGGUCUGUAACUGGACUGCUGAGGCGGCGAAAACGUGGGGAGCAAACAGG